GCUCAGGAUGAACGCUAGCGGCAGGCCUAAUACAUGCAAGUCGAGGGGCAGCACGGGGGCAACCCUGGUGGCGACCGGCAGACGGGUGCGGAACACGUACGCAACCUUCCCAAAACUGGUGAAUAGCCUUCCGAAAGGGAGAUUAAUACACCGUAACUUAAUGAAGUGGCAUCACUUUAUUAAUAUAGCUCCGGCGGUUUUGGAUGGGCGUGCGCCUGAUUAGGUAGUUGGUGAGGUAACGGCUCACCAAGCCUGCGAUCAGUAACUGGUGUGAGAGCACGACCAGUCACACGGGCACUGAGACACGGGCCCGACUCCUACGGGAGGCAGCAGUAAGGAAUAUUGGUCAAUGGACGCAAGUCUGAACCAGCCAUGCCGCGUGAAGGAUUAAGGCCCUCUGGGUUGUAAACUUCUUUUAUAGGGGACGAAAAAAGGGCAUUCUUGCUCACUUGACGGUACCCUAGGAAUAAGCACCGGCUAACUCCGUGCCAGCAGCCGCGGUAAUACGGAGGGUGCAAGCGUUAUCCGGAUUUACUGGGUUUAAAGGGUGCGUAGGUGGGUUGGUAAGUCAGUGGUGAAAUCUUCGAGCUUAACUCGGAAACUGCCAUUGAUACUAUCAAUCUUGAAUCAUCUAGAGGUAAGCGGAAUAUGUCAUGUAGCGGUGAAAUGCUUAGAUAUGACAUAGAACACCAAUUGCGAAGGCAGCUUACUAUGGAUGCAUUGACACUGAGGCACGAAAGCGUGGGGAUCAAACAGGAUUAGAUACCCUGGUAGUCCACGCCCUAAACGAUGGAUACUCGACAUUUGUGAUAUACUAUAAGUGUCUGAGCGAAAGCAUUAAGUAUCCCACCUGGGAAGUACGACCGCAAGGUUGAA
rnacentral:rRNA from 1 species